rnacentral:sRNA from 1 species
UAGGUUGAUUAGCCAAAUUCAUGGCUAGA